CUAUGCGCCUUGCCAGCCCGCUCAGGUGUGCCAGCAGCCGCGGUAAUACGUAGGGGGCAAGUGUUAUCCGGAUUUACUGGGUGUAAAGGGAGCGUAGACGGCCAGACAAGUCUGAAGUGAAAAUCCAGCGCUUAACGUUGGAAGUGCUUUGGAAACUGCCGGGCUGGAGUGCAGGAGGGGCAGGCGGAAUUCCUAGUGUAGCGGUGAAAUGCGUAGAUAUUAGGAGGAACACCAGUGGCGAAGGCGGCCUGCUGGACGACAACUGACGCUGAGGCACGAAAGCGUGGGUAUCGAACAGG
rnacentral:rRNA from 1 species